rnacentral:rRNA from 1 species
UUUUAGCAGGGAAGAAGCGAGAGUGACGGUACCUGCAGAAAAAGCGCCGGCUAACUACGUGCCAGCAGCCGCGGUAAUACGUAGGGCGCAAGCGUUAUCCGGAAUUAUUGGGCGUAAAGAGCUCGUAGGCGGUCUGUCGCGUCUGCUGUGAAAACUGGAGGCUCAACCUCCAGCCUGCAGUGGGUACGGGCAGACUAGAGUGCGGUAGGGGAGAUUGGAAUUCCUGGUGUAGCGGUGGAAUGCGCAGAUAUCAGGAGGAACACCGAUGGCGAAGGCAGAUCUCUGGGCCGUAACUGACGCUGAGGAGCGAAAGGGUGGGGAGCAAACAGGCUUAGAUACCCUGGUAGUCCACCCCGUAAACGUUGGGAACUAGUUGUGGGGUCCUUUCCACGGAUUCCGUGACGCAGCUAACGCAUUAAGUUCCCCGCCUGGGGAGUACGGCCGCAAGGCUAAAACUCAAAGGAAUUGACGGGGACCCGCACAAGCGGCGGAGCAUGCGGAUUAAUUCGAUGCAACGCGAAGAACCUUACCAAGGCUUGACAUACACGAGAACGGGCCAGAAAUGGUCAACUCUUUGGACACUCGUGAACAGGUGGUGCAUGGUUGUCGUCAGCUCGUGUCGUGAGAUGUUGGGUUAAGUCCCGCAACGAGCGCAACCCUCGUUCUAUGUUGCCAGCACGUAAUGGUGGGAACUCAUGGGAUACUGCCGGGGUCAACUCGGAGGAAGGUGGGGAUGACGUCAAAUCAUCAUGCCCCUUAUGUCUUGGGCUUCACGCAUGCUACAAUGGCCGGUACAAAGGGCUGCGAUACCGUAAGGUGGAGCGAAUCCCAAAAAGCCGGUCCCAGUUCGGAUUGAGGUCUGCAACUCGACCUCAUGAAGUCGGAGUCGCUAGUAAUCGCAGAUCAGCAACGCUGCGGUGAAUACGUUCCCGGGUCUUGUACACACCGCCCGUCAAGUCAUGAAAGUCGGUAACACCUGAAGCCGGU